CAGUCGCCGCGGGAAUACGUAGGUGGCAAGCGUUGUCCGGAAUUAUUGGGCGUAAAGGGCUCGCAGGCGGUUUCUUAAGUCUGAUGUGAAAGCCCCCGGCUCAACCGGGGAGGGUCAUUGGAAACUGGGAAACUUGAGUGCAGAAGAGGGGAGUGGAAUUCCACGUGUAGCGGUGAAAUGCGUAGAGAUGUGGAGGAACACCAGUGGCGAAGGCGACUCUCUGGUCUGUAACUGACACUGAGGAGCGAAAGCGUGGGGAGCGAACAGGAUUAGAUACCCCAGUAGUCCCUGUCUCUUAUAC
rnacentral:rRNA from 1 species